UACGUAGGGGGCGAGCGUUGUCCGGAUUCAUUGGGCGUAAAGAGCUCGUAGGCGGCUUGGCAAGUCGGGUGUGAAACCUCCAGGCUCAACCUGGAGUCGCCACCCGAUACUGCCAUGGCUAGAGUCCGGUAGGGGCCCACGGGAAUUCCUGGUGUAGCGGUGAAAUGCGCAGAUAUCAGGAGGAACACCGGUGGCGAAGGCGGUGGGCUGGGCCGGAACUGACGCUGAGGAGCGAAAGCGUGGGGAGCGAACAGG
rnacentral:rRNA from 1 species